GACGAACGCUGGCGGCGUGCUUAACACAUGCAAGUCGAACGGAAAGGCCCUGCUUUUGUGGGGUGCUCGAGUGGCGAACGGGUGAGUAACACGUGAGUAACCUGCCCUUGACUUUGGGACAACUUCAGGAAACUGGGGCUAAUACCGGAUAGGAGCUCCUGCUGCAUGGUGGGGGUUGGAAAGUUUCGGCGGUUGGGGAUGGACUCGCGGCUUAUCAGCUUGUUGGUGGGGUAGUGGCUUACCAAGGCUUUGACGGGUAGCCGGCCUGAGAGGGUGACCGGCCACAUUGGGACUGAGAUACGGCCCAGACUCCUACGGGAGGCAGCAGUGGGGAAUAUUGCACAAUGGGCGGAAGCCUGAUGCAGCAACGCCGCGUGCGGGAUGACGGCCUUCGGGUUGUAAACCGCUUUUGCCUGUGACGAAGCGUGAGUGACGGUAAUGGGUAAAGAAGCACCGGCUAACUACGUGCCAGCAGCCGCGGUGAUACGUAGGGUGCGAGCGUUGUCCGGAUUUAUUGGGCGUAAAGGGCUCGUAGGUGGUUGAUCGCGUCGGAAGUGUAAUCUUGGGGCUUAACCCUGAGCGUGCUUUCGAUACGGGUUGACUUGAGGAAGGUAGGGGAGAAUGGAAUUCCUGGUGGAGCGGUGGAAUGCGCAGAUAUCAGGAGGAACACCAGUGGCGAAGGCGGUUCUCUGGGCCUUUCCUGACGCUGAGGAGCGAAAGCGUGGGGAGCGAACAGGCUUAGAUACCCUGGUAGUCCACGCUGUAAACGGUGGGUACUAGGUGUGGGGUCCAUUCCACGGGUUCCGUGCCGUAGCUAACGCUUUAAGUACCCCGCCUGGGGAGUACGGCCGCAAGGCUAAAACUCAAAGGAAUUGACGGGGCCCCGCACAAGCGGCGGAGCAUGCGGAUUAAUUCGAUGCAACGCGUAGAACCUUACCUGGGUUUGACAUGGAUCGGGAGCGCUCAGAGAUGGGUGUGCCUCUUUUGGGGUCGGUUCACAGGUGGUGCAUGGCUGUCGUCAGCUCGUGUCGUGAGAUGUUGGGUUAAGUCCCGCAACGAGCGCAACCCUUGUUCACUGUUGCCAGCACGUUAUGGUGGGGACUCAGUGGAGACCGCCGGGGUCAACUCGGAGGAAGGUGGGGAUGACGUCAAGUCAUCAUGCCCCUUAUGUCCAGGGCUUCACGCAUGCUACAAUGGCUGGUACAGAGAGUGGCGAGCCUGUGAGGGUGAGCGAAUCUCGGAAAGCCGGUCUCAGUUCGGAUUGGGGUCUGCAACUCGACCUCAUGAAGUCGGAGUCGCUAGUAAUCGCAGAUCAGCAACGCUGCGGUGAAUACGUUCCCGGGGCU
rnacentral:rRNA from 1 species